CACGGGUGAGUAACACGUAUCCAACCUGCCGUCUACUCUUGGCCAGCCUUCUGAAGGAAGAUUAAUACAAGAUGGCAUCAUGAGUCCGCAUGUUCACAUGAUUAAAGGUAUUCCGGUAGACGAUAGGGAUGCGUUCCAUUAGAUAGUAGGCGGGGUAACGGCCCACCUAGUCUUCGAUGGAUAGGGGUUCUGAGAGGAAGGUCCCCCACAUUGGAACUGAGACACGGUCCAA
rnacentral:rRNA from 1 species